CAGGAGAAUUAAAAGAUACAUUUAGAUACCAACGUAUAACAAUAAAAAGUGAAUAUCAUAUCCAAAAUGCAUUGUCAAGCUUCCCAGGCCCCUAGUACAUUGCAAUCAAACUCCCAAAAAAUUUGGGGAAGAACAAAAGACCAGAUAUCCUAUUCUAGAUUUCCCUUGUUCAAUAGGAAAGCGAAACAGCUUCGAAAGCUCGUGUAGAGAGUAGUGAUACAUUACUAGGAACAAGUACUCGCCUACCCAAGAAAAUAACAUAAAAAGAAAACUUCCAGCAAAAAAGUUGAUAUUAACAUACUUGACAAUAGAUUAUCUCUUGCAGCUGAACCAACAGGCAUUCUCAAAGUUCCAUAGAAUUUGUCUGCCAACUGGUUCAUUCUAUCUUUCCCCAUUUGAACAGCAGACACUCAAAUGCUAUUUAAACAUAUGUAAUAUUGAGCUCUUUUUCGUUAAUUUUUAGUAGUCAUAAAACUGAGUGGGGAUUGGUUGCUUCCAUAUUUUUCUCCUUACCUUCAGAUUCCAUGAUCAGCAGUUACUUCAGUUAAAACCGGAGGUGAUAUUGGUGCACUGGAGCUGCUGCCAAUCAUACUGCGAAGAUCUUGAAUAGAUACCUUCACCCGAUCCUCAAUUUCCAACCCAGCCCUAACAUUUUGAUUCGUCUCAUUUGGAGGAACUUGAGAUACUGUAUUGCCAAUUUUGAUGUCUUGCAAUUGUUCUUUACCAUCUUCAUUGUCUUGAUUAAUCGAUG
rnacentral:lncRNA from 1 species